rnacentral:misc_RNA from 1 species
UUUUAGAUCAUCACAAAACUUUAACUGCAGUAAGGUGCAAGACAGGCAAAGUCUCUAACAAAUCAUAAGUUAACAUGGAGGCCUUAGGCUUGGCCGGCCGGUUAGAAAAUCCGACAGGCAAUGGAGCGAGCAGUGUGGUUCUCUCACAAGUACCAAGCCACUUGGAUUGCAUGUACUUGUGCUUCCUCCAGGGACCUAAGUGCAUCUUAUUCUCCUUCAUACACUUUUUUCCUGCUGAACAUAAUAUUUUGAUCAAGGCUUUUAGCCUCUCUGCUUUUCCCACAAAUAUUUCAGGCAGCCGAUUAAUUAAUUGAUUAUACUCUUCACUUGCUUUUGCCAUCUCGAAUUCUGCUUGAAAGUUCAAUUCUAUUAUCACUCUCACUUCCCCUUUCUUCGAGCUCAAUUUAUCCACCACUUCUAAGUAAGUGUGUUCCCCUGAUGGAAUUUCCUGGCUGCUCUUCCAUUUUGACUUGCAAAUGGCACAAUUAUAACCUUCUGCUUGAAGCCGUAAUAAAACCUCCCUCUGCAAGCAAUUCCGGCACUCUCCGGUCGCCGCCUUGUGACACCUGCAUUGCAGGCCUAUCAGCUUAGUCUCCCUUACUGCAGCUUUUGUAGCUUGACGGAUUUUUGUUUCCAGGGAACUAGUCCUAUACAAUGUUGCCUGAAGAAGUUGGUUUUGUGUUUCCCAGAAUUUUCUGUUUUCUUCAAUACUACAAGAAUUCUCAUCCUCAUCAUACUCAACAUAAUCAAUAGAGUCACAAGAACUCUUGGGUGACUCUUCUUGAGCUUCCAAGAAGCUGAAAACAUUGUCGGCGAAGCUCGUGUGUUGUUCGGAAAUUCCAACAAUUAUGUCAGAAUUCCAGCGAGUGAUCAAAGGUUUUCCGGCCAUGGCUUGAGCCAUGCUUUUUCUUUUCUUUUUUAGGGUAGAAAAUG